rnacentral:rRNA from 1 species
AUGGCACGGCCAACUGCACCAUCACCAACACGUACGGGCUCCUUCACGGACCGUACCAUCUGCCGUGCGGCCAAGGUCACCUACCCGGGGACCGAGCAGGAGCUCGUCGCGGCCGUGGCAGCCGUGGUGUCCACAAAACAGAAGGUGAAGGUGGCCACCAAGCACUCACACAGCAUUCCCAAGCUGGCGUGCCCCGGCGGCGACGAAGGUACACUCGUAAGCACGGCGCGGCUCAACCGGACGGUAUGCAUCGACGUCGCGAAACGGCUCAUGACGGUGGAGAGCGGCAUGGUCCUUCGGGACCUGAUCGAGGCCGCUGCCGCGGCAGGGCUGUCCCUGCCUCACUCACCGUACUGGUACGGCCUGACCAUCGGGGGCAUGUUGGCGACGGGAGCGCACGGGAGCUCGCUGUGGGGAAAGGGAGGCGCCGUGCACGAGUACGUGGUCGGGCUGAGGAUCGUAACUCCGGCGCCGGCGAGCCAGGGGUUCGCCGUAGUGAGGGAGCUAGGUUCCGAUCACCCAGACCUGGAUGCCGUUAAGGUCUCCCUUGGCGUUCUCGGUGUCGUCUCUCAGGUAACUCUGACCAUGCAGCCGUUGUUCAAGCGGUCGGUGACGAUGGUGCAGCGCGACGACUCGGACAUGGCGGAGAAGGUGGCCGUGUGGGGCCACCUCCACGAGUUUGGCGACAUGACGUGGCUACCGUAUCAGCGCAAGGUGAUCUACCGCCAAGACGACCGCGUCGACGUCUCGACCCCAGGCAAUGGCCUGAAUGACUUGCUCCUUUUUCGCGCCAGUCCCACCCGCAGGCUCAUCGAUGCGAGAGUCGCCGAGGAGCGCCUGCAGGAGAACGGCACUGACACAGCCCGAUGCACGGCGGCGCAGCAGCAAGCGGCCGCCUUCGAGCAACGGUCCUACGGUUUCACGAACGACGGCGUCUCUUUCACAAGAUACCCGGUGGUGGGGUACCAACACCGCGUCCAGGCGUCUGGCACAUGCCUCAGCAGCCCAGAGGAUGGCCUCCUCACCUCCUGCGCUUGGGACCCACGCAUCCGAGGCUCCUUCUACUACAACUCCGGCUUCAGCGUCACACUCUCCAAGGCACGGGCGUUCGUUGUUGACAUGCAACGUCUCCGCGACCGCAACCCGGACAUGUUUUGUGCUGCCCUCGACUCCAAGGUGGGCGUGGUCAUGCGGUACGUCAAGGCGUCAUCGGCUUAUCUUGGUAAAAAGAAGGACUCGGUCGACUUCGACAUCAUCUACUACCGGAGCCACACAAAUGGCAUGCCGCGUGUGCACGCCGACGUGGUGGACGAGAUUGAGCAGAUGGCGCUACGCAAGUACAGCGGCCUCCCGCAUUGGGGCAAGAACCGCAACUUUGCCUACGAUGGUGUCAUCGCAAAGUACCCGAAAGCUCAUGAGUUCCUUAAAGUGAAAAAUAGGUACGACCCCGCCGGGCUCUUCUCCAAUGAGUGGACUGACCAAGUACUCGGUAUCAAUGAAACUCCCAACAUCAUCAAAAAGAGUUGCGCCAUCGAAGGACUCUGCGUCUGCUCCAGUGACUUACAUUGUGCUCCGGAGCAGGGCUACUUAUGCAAGCCAGGGAAGGUGUACAAAGAGGCUCGAGUCUGCUCGUUCAUCAGGGAUUAUUAG